rnacentral:rRNA from 1 species
AUACGUAGGGGGCGAGCGUUGUCCGGAAUGAUUGGGCGUAAAGGGCGUGUAGGCGGUCUUGCAAGUCAGAAGUGAAAUUCCUGAGCUCAACUCGGGCGCUGCUUCUGAAACUGCAGGACUUGAGUGCUGGAGGGGAUAGCGGAAUUCCUAGUGGAGCGGUAAAAUGCGCAGAUAUUAGGAAGAACACCGGUGGCGAAGGCGGAAUGCUGGACAAAACCGGACUCGAAGGCGCGAAAGCGUGGGGAGAAACCAGGAUGAGAUGCCCUGGUAUUCCACGCCGUAAACGAUGAAUACUAGGUGUAGGGGGUAUCGACUCCCUCUGUGCCGCAGUUAACACAAUAAGUAUUCCGCCUGGGGAGUACGGCCGCAAGGUUGAAACUCAAAUGAAUUGACGGGG